rnacentral:lncRNA from 1 species
AUGUUGAGGUGCAAGCAGGGGAUAGCCCAGCACAUCAUCUCCGAGGAGGACGAGGGCGAGCAGCAGCCGCAGUGGCCAAUCCCCAAGUUCGCAGACCCGGCCCCAGCGGCGCCGGCAGGAAAGCCGUGUGUCCCAGGGAAUGAAGAUGGAAGGAGUGAGGACGAAGGCCCUGUAAAUCAGCUUCGAGGGGAGGAGACGCAUGUCUAUGAGAAACGCUGUGUGGAGUUCUUUGGCAUCUCUGAAUUCUUGGAACAUAAGAAAAAUUGCACUAAAAAUCCACGUGUCCUCAUCAUGAAUGACAGACAAUGAGGGCCCGGUGCCUUCAGAAGACUUCCUCGAGUCUGUACUGAGCCACCAGCCACCCAGUCCAAGCAGGAAGUACGGCCACAGGGAGAAUGGUGGCAGCCCAGGGCACAUGAAGGAAAAGUCGGGUACUUAAAGACAGGCACCCCAGGACAUAAGCUAUACACCCAAAGGUAAAGUGGCCAACACUAAGGUGCCCCUGUGGGGACUGCAGGGUGGUGAGUCCACGGAGCCCGAGUGCCUGGCGCCAACAGGAUCCCGUGGGUGCUCAAGCAGAUCCUGUGCCUGCAGCAGCAGCUACGGCAGAUCCAGCUCACCCAGCAGAUCCGCGCCCAGGCGCACUGGUGGGCCUCGCACGCCCUCCACUAGCCGGACGGGGCCCCGCAACCCUGAAGACCUUGGGCGGCCACGUGUCCCACAGGUUUCAGCAGCAGUGGCUUUGCUCAGCGGGAAAGCUGGGAGCCAAGGUCUGUCUCUGGACGCUUUGAAACAGGCCAAGCUACCUCACACCGACAUCCCUUCUGCUGCCAGCUGUCUGUCCCCAGGGCUGACGCCCCUCAUCCCACUCUGCAGCCGGAUGGGAGAGGGCACUCCUGAACAUCAGUCUCACCUCCCCAGCGCUGUGCGUCCUCGGGUCUGGGCCGGGUACUCUGCCAGCGGCCUUUCUCCGCAGUGGCAUUAGACUACCCGGGAACGGGAAGGGGAAGCCGCCGGACAUCUCCGAGGGAGGGCGGAUGGGCAAACCCGAAGACGAGGCAGUCCUCGACAAGCAUCAUAAGUGUGGGACCAGGCGCUCUUCCACAUUUAUCCAAGCCCAGCCAACCCAGCUGACAAAGUCUGGGUUCUGGCACGUCAGUUGGACCAUCAGCACCAUCCCCAAGCAAGCCCUUUGUUAGUGCAGCCCUGCUGGGAGGCCCAGCCUAUGGGAGUGUGGGAGGAACGCACCGCUAGCGCUCCUCAGAUUCACGAGCAGGUGCACACUGCAAGAAGCCUGUUGUAUGCAGCAUUUAUGGGCGAGCCUUUACCACCAAAGGCACCUUGAAGGUCCACUGUAUGACACACGGGCGAACAGUCACUUGGCCUGCCAUGGGAGGAAGCCAUGGAGAAUACCAUGGCUCUAAUAGGUCCAAAGAGAAAAAGAGUAUCGGAAAUGUUUCCCCAGGAAAUCCUGGCCCCUUAGGUGAGCGUGUACCUGCUGUGUGGAACCAGUACACCAGCAUGCUCAACGGUGCUCUGGCCACAAAGACCAGUGAGACCUCUGUGGUCCAGAGUGGCCAUGUUCCACUCUCCCGGUUUUCCCUGGGGGGCCAGCUCAGUCGUGAAUAAGGCCACCAUCUCCAAGAGGGAUGGCUCCCAACGAGGCAUCAGUGCUGACGUGGAAGAACCAGGUGCUACUGACCCAUCCCAAACACCGGUGUCCUCACUUCCUGGAAGAAAACAAGACUGUGGUCAGCUAA